rnacentral:rRNA from 1 species
GGCGGCGUGCCUAAUACAUGCAAGUCGAACGCUUUUCGUUUCACCGGAGCUUGCUCCACCGAAAGAAAAGGAGUGGCGAACGGGUGAGUAACACGUGGGUAACCUGCCCAUCAGAAGGGGAUAACACUUGGAAACAGGUGCUAAUACCGUAUAACAAUCGAAACCGCAUGGUUUCGGUUUGAAAGGCGCUUUUGCGUCACUGAUGGAUGGACCCGCGGUGCAUUAGCUAGUUGGUGAGGUAACGGCUCACCAAGGCAACGAUGCAUAGCCGACCUGAGAGGGUGAUCGGCCACAUUGGGACUGAGACACGGCCCAAACUCCUACGGGAGGCAGCAGUAGGGAAUCUUCGGCAAUGGACGCAAGUCUGACCGAGCAACGCCGCGUGAGUGAAGAAGGUUUUCGGAUCGUAAAACUCUGUUGUUAGAGAAGAACAAGGAUGAGAGUAGAAUGUUCAUCCCUUGACGGUAUCUAACCAGAAAGCCACGGCUAACUACGUGCCAGCCGCGGC